rnacentral:lncRNA from 1 species
AUCUAAAAGACGUAGCACGCGGAAGACCGUCCAUUCCAUUGUACUACGCUUCUAAUUUCAUUGAAAACAAAUGCAUAAUACAUUCACACACAAAUACAUAUAUUCGAUAGUGCACUCUUCUGAAUUCCUAAUAAGCCAUAUCUCCGACAAUAAUAUCAUACUAGCUGCCAUCGCAAGUACUCCCAUCCAAACAUCAUUUCGUUCCGCUACUGGUUGCAACUCUCGAAGACGAGUCUCGAUGAUGCAGUGCGUGCACCUCUCCUUCCAAGCCUACCUUAAGUUUCAUCUCCCCUCCGUUGCACUAAACAACAAGCUACAUCGCAACUACUUGAAAUACUGAUACGGGUGUUGGGCUGAUGGCCCAUAUUCAGCCCAUGUGGGCUUUAUCAACCCACAGCCCACACCCCCUCUUAACCUAACCCUAAUUAAGAUUAG